GCGGUUGUGGCUCAGUGGUAGAGCGCUCACCUAGCAUGUGCAAGGGCCUGGAUUCGAUCCUCAGCACCACA
rnacentral:tRNA from 1 species